UACGGAGGAUCCGAGCGUUAUCCGGAUUUAUUGGGUUUAAAGGGUGCGUAGGCGGUUUGAUAAGUCAGAGGUGAAAUGUCGGGGCUCAACCCCGAAACUGCCUCUAAUACUGUUGGACUAGAGAAUAGUUGCGGUAGGCGGAAUGUAUGGUGUAGCGGUGAAAUGCUUAGAGAUCAUACAGAACACCGAUUGCGAAGGCAGCUUACCAAACUAUAUCUGACGUUGAGGCACGAAAGCGUGGGUAGCAAACAGG
rnacentral:rRNA from 1 species